UACGAAGGGGGCUAGCGUUGCUCGGAAUCACUGGGCGUAAAGGGUGCGUAGGCGGGUCUUUAAGUCAGGGGUGAAAUCCUGGAGCUCAACUCCAGAACUGCCUUUGAUACUGAGGAUCUUGAGUUCGGGAGAGGUGAGUGGAACUGCGAGUGUAGAGGUGAAAUUCGUAGAUAUUCGCAAGAACACCAGUGGCGAAGGCGGCUCACUGGCCCGAUACUGACGCUGAGGAGCG
rnacentral:rRNA from 1 species